GAUGAAGAACGUAGCGAAAUGCGAUAAGUAAUGUGAAUUGCAGAAUUCAGUGAAUCAUCGAAUCUUAGAACGCACAUUGCGCCCCUUGGUAUUCCGAGGGGCAUGCCUGUUCGAGCGUCAUUAUAACCCCUCAAGCUCAGCUUGGUGUUGGGGCCUGCUGCACUGGCAGCCCUUAAAAUCAGUGGCGGCGCCAUCUGGCUCUAAGCGUAGUAAUUCUUCUCGCUAUGGAGUCCUGGUGGAUGCUUGCCAUCAACCCCCAAUUUUUCUAUGGUUGACCUCGGAUCAGGUAGGGAUACCCGCUGAACUUAAGCAUAUCAAUAAGCGGAGGA
rnacentral:misc_RNA from 1 species